UGCGGUGAUUGUGGAGUUGUCAGGGGCGGGAGAGGGUUUUGAGGUCAUCGAGUCCAACCGUCAGCGCGGCAUUGCCGCUGUGACUCUAACCUCGACACCUCUAAACUCCUAAAACACUAAGCUACAUCACCCAGCGCCAAAUCCAGGCGCCUCUUAAACACCUCUGGGGUUGGUGAUUCCACCAUCUCCUUCGGCAAUUCAUUCCAAUGUUUGACCAGCAGACCAGUGAAAAAGACUUUUUUGUCUACUAUCUAACCUCGAUCUGCCCUGUCUCAGCUUGAGGCCGUGUUUGAGGUUCUCUCACUGCAGUGUAGAAGAGGCUGGACUCCAGUUAGCUGGGGAGAGCCGUGAAGUUCCCCUGAGCCUCGUCCGGGCUAAACUACCCCGGGUCCCUCAGCCGCUCCUCAUAAACGUGUGGGAAAAAGGAAAGUCCCUUUUAUUAGGCCUUAUGUAUUGAAUCUUAACUACAAAACACAACUGCAUUUUUUUCCUUUUUGCUACUAAACCACGACUGAUUCAGGGUGAUGACGUACAGGUUUUUUCCCCCCCUUUCAUAAUUAGAUGAGUGUGUGAUCAUUUUCAGUGCUGAGCCUGGCUAAAUGUGUACUGUGGGGCUGCAGUGAGUGGCUUGAAAAGUCUUGAAAAGGUCUCCAAGAAUGCGGACUUCCUGACCUGUGCAGUAGGUGCCUCUGCCCAGGGAAAGGCUCCCUCAGGAAAACUGCCAGAGCUGCUGGUUGUCCUUGAGCUCCCAAACACCCUCUACUUAGUUGAAAGAAAUCAAAGGAAAUCUGUCCUUAUUUUCUCAUAUAUUUGUGACAGCAUGUAUGAAGUGCCAAGACUUAGGAGGAAAAGGAGAUGAUACGUUUCAGAUCCAGUGAGGCACAGCUGAAAAAACUGAUCUAAUGAAAGACCAGAAGAACACUGUGGGGCACAGUGAAGCUGUUGGUAAUAGUUUUUGAAUCUCAAUUGAUAAUCCUGUGUGGAAGCUGUCAGGCGUGGGGCACUCCAGCAUGUUUAGAGCUCCUACACAUUUCCAAAUUGAGAAGUGCGAGAGAGAGUCAUCUUAGCAAGAGAAAAGCUCCCUCCUGUGGAAGAGAUGAACCUCUGCUGUGACAAGGAGCAACCAUAAGGGCAUUACACCGUGAUUUGAAAUUAGCAGGGAAAGGGGUUACAAGCACGGUGGGACUUUGCAAAUACUGGAAUGCAAAACCCUGCUCCUGUUAUUUUUUUUUCUCAAAGUAAAUUUUUCAUAUUUUGUAUGGCUUAUAUCUAUAACUGUAUGUCAAUUAUAACUGUUGUCUGUGAGUAAAACUGGAUUGUUUAAAUAAUAUAAUGUGGCCACAGUGAGCUCUAUAGUGUUCAAGGGAUCUAAAGCAGCUGAUAUUAUUACAGAUUUUGCUUUCUGUAGCUCUUUGCUGACAAGCCUUAGUAUUUUGGAAAUUUGUGUGAAUUUGAGUUUGUAGAGCUUACUUUUAAAAAACUUCUACUUUUUUUUUACUUUUUUACUUUUACUUUUUUGUUUUCCUUUUUUUUAAAAAGUCUGAUAAUCUGUCUAUCUUGAAGAUCUGUGUUAAAAUGUUUCUGAAUCUUGCUGUGAUUGGUGGUCCUUGGUAGAAAGCUCUGCUGAGCUCAAAGCCCGAUGUAACUUGGAAAAUAAAACUGCACAGAAAUUAUAAAGAUGAAAUUGUGGUGGAGGGGCUGGAACUAGAACGUGAUAUCAAAUUCCUGCUAGAAACAGUAUUUUUUACCUUUGAGCUGAAUAUGAUUCAUGCUUGUGAUCUGAAGGUGGAAGGCUGCAGCUCAUUAGCACAUUAACAAAACCCUGAGGCAUUUACUCCCAGAAAUGCUAAUGUUAUUCCCCUGAGAAUGAAGCACUUGUGGGAAUGGGGGAGAUGAAUCUUUAUUAUUACAGUGGAGUUUUAAUUUUACCAAUUCCAAUUCAU